rfam:Schistosoma mansoni strain Puerto Rico chromosome W, complete genome
AUCCAGCUGACGAGUCCCGAAUAGGACGAAACGCGCGUCAAACUGGAU